GACGAACGCUGGCGGCGUGCCUAAUACAUGCAAGUCGAACGCAGUGGGGACGGGUGAGUACCACGUGGGUAACCUCGCAUCAGAGGGGAUAACCCUUGGCAAAAGGUGCUAAACCGAUACUGAUGGAUGGACCCGCGGUGCAUUGGCUAGUUGGUGGGGUAACGGCUCACCAAGGCCAUGAUGCAUAGCGGGCCUGAGAGGGUGAUCGGCCACACGGGGACUGAGACACGGUCCAGACGCCGACGGGAGGCAGCAGUGGGGAAUAUUGGGCAAUGGACGAAAGUCUGACCGAGCAAUGCCGCGUGAGUGAAGAAGGCCUGCGGAUCGUAAAACACUGUUGCUAGGGAAGCGUUAUCUAAACAGAAAGCCCCGGCUAACUCCGUGCCAGCAGCCGCGGUAAUUC
rnacentral:rRNA from 1 species